AAAUUGUUAGUUAAAAAAUAACAUAGAUAUGUCAAAUCUAAAUUAUAUAAAUUAUAUACAAUUUA
rnacentral:tRNA from 1 species